GUGGAAAUAGAGGGCAAGGAAAGGCACGUGUCGUUCCAGCGUGCCAAGAUAGCUUGUGCUCGUUGAACUGAUACGAUACAGUAACUAGAGCACAAAUGCGAAAACGAAACCGAUUCUGUUCUCCGCGCUCACCGCAUAGAGAAAGGGAUUGAACAAGAGCGGACACUCGGUGAAAAUUGGAAACAGGAAACACGUCACGCUAUAGUAUUAACACCGACGAAUUGGGGGCGCGAGCAUCGAAAAAAAGAAGAAUGUGAAAUGAGAUUAACAGAAAUUGUUUUAUUUUUUUAUUAUUUUUUAUUAAGAAUAUCUGCGUAUAAAUUAAAUUAAUCCUUGCGGCUUACUUCCGUUGCCUAGCGACAGGCGAACCGGCGAAUGACGAGCCAGAUGUUUGCAUCAUUCGUCAGAGACACCUCCGAAGCGAGAGAGACCGGCCGCGCAUCUGAGCGUUGGACUGUUCGGGCACCCGUCUGCCUGUUUUUCUAUUUUGGGAUUUAGCCUGGUUUGGUGGCCUCCCGGCGAAUUAUUGCGUUCAUUCGGAACUUCGACAUGGCAGCACUGCACUAUUGGACUACGGCAAGCUCACGUCGUCUGGUGGAUCUUCCUGCGGAAACUACUGCUGCUUACCUGGUGCCACAACGUUGGAUGAAUGCACAAAAAGCCCGCGACGAGCAUUUACAAAGAAUAAAAUAAACGUAAAUUUUUCCUCAUUUCACAA